UACGUAGGGCGCAAGCGUUGUCCGGAAUUAUUGGGCGUAAAGCGUGCGCAGGCGGUUCGCUGUGUCCUGUGUGAAAGCCCCGGGCUUAACCUGGGAAUGGCAUGGGAAACUGGCGGGCUGGAGUGUGGCAGAGGGGGGUGGAAUUCCGCGUGUAGCAGUGAAAUGCGUAGAGAUGCGGAGGAACACCGAUGGCGAAGGCAGCCCCCUGGGCUAACACUGACGCUCAGGCACGAAAGCGUGGGGAGCAAACAGG
rnacentral:rRNA from 1 species